GAAACGCGAUAGGUAAUGUGAAUUGCAGAAUCUAGUGAAUCAUCGAAUCUUUGAACGCACAUUGCGCCUUCUGGUAUUCCGGGAGGCAUGUCUGUUUGAGCGUCAGCAGCACCUCAAAGCUUGCUUUGGUUUUAGUCGGGCUUCUGAAGCCGGGCUUAACGUUGACGAGCGCACCGAAAAUGGCAAAAGACGUAGUAAACUUUUUCUCGUUUGAAACCAUUGAUGGCCGCCUAAAAAUCACCUGAUUUUUGACCUCAGAUCAGACAAGGAUACCCGCUGAACUUAA
rnacentral:misc_RNA from 1 species